AUCUUCGACCUGCUGCGGGCAGAUAAAGUGGAUGUGGCUGUCAAAGCCGCCCGCGGUCAGGAUUUUACCUUCGCCCGCGAUCGCCUCGGUGCCGGGGCCGACGAUGAUAUCGACACCGGGCUGAGUAUCCGGGUUGCCCGCCUUGCCGAUCUUGUGGAUUUUGCCGUCUUUCAGGCCGACAUCGGCCUUGUAAAUACCGGUGUGAUCCAGGAUCAGCGCGUUGGUGAUGACGGUGUCCACCGCCCCGCCUGCGCGGGUGGUCUGGGCUUGCCCCAUCCCAUCGCGGAU
rnacentral:sRNA from 1 species